GAGCAAGAUCCUAUCACCAAUAAAAGGAGGUGUUUGGAAUCAAACAGCUAUGGAGGGAAGACAAAGUAGAAAGAUGUAGAGGGGGGUGGACACACCAGAGAGGCCUGGGACAGACCCCUCAAGCCCUGCCAACACCUGCCACCUUGGACUAGAGGCUUGAUCUUGGACUUCAAGCCUCUAGAAUGGUAAGAGAAUAAAUUUCUGUUGUUUAAACCACCAGUUAGUGACACCUCACUAUAGCAGCUUAAAGAGACUCAGACACCAUCCCAAAUCUAAGAGCCUACAAGGGUCAAGUGGGAACCAUUGACCCUUGUAGCUCCUGGCAGUUCCAGCCAGCUAUCUCCAGGGUGCCAGAUCUGCUGUUGUUCCUGGGAAGCUGGCGUAUCAGUCAGAAUAGGCCAGGUUAUGCUGCAGUGACAAACAUCCCCUACAUCUCAAUGGCUUGAUGGAACACAGAAAAACGUAUUCUCCUCUUCACAUUGUCAACACAGCCUGGGCACUGCUCCCAGGCUGCUGACCUCCUUGUGGUGUCUGGCCAGCCUGAGCCAGUUAGAGUUCAUGAGUUGUCCACCUCCAUGUGAGGUCACCAUGGGGCAUGCACAGACUCCCAUGUCCCUGGUGCUCACACCCCACACGAUCACACUUAGCUGAGGGGUGCUGGAGAGGAGAGUCUUGCUGUGCCCGGGAAGCGGAGAAAAAACAGGUAUUGGUGAGUUUAGACAAUGUUGGCCACACUUGCAAAGCCACAUCUCCUGAGCUGCUAACUUUGGCACUUCUUUUAAAAUUGUGGUAAAAUACACAUCACAUUUACCCAUCUUAAUGGUCCCCCCG
rnacentral:lncRNA from 10 species